GGCCUAACACAUGCAAGUCGAGCGGUAGAGAGGUGCUUGCACCUCUUGAGAGCGGCGGACGGGUGAGUAAUGCCUAGGAAUCUGCCUGGUAGUGGGGGAUAACGCUCGGAAACGGACGCUAAUACCGCAUACGUCCUACGGGAGAAAGCAGGGGACCUUCGGGCCUUGCGCUAUCAGAUGAGCCUAGGUCGGAUUAGCUAGUUGGUGAGGUAAUGGCUCACCAAGGCGACGAUCCGUAACUGGUCUGAGAGGAUGAUCAGUCACACUGGAACUGAGACACGGUCCAGACUCCUACGGGAGGCAGCAGUGGGGAAUAUUGGACAAUGGGCGAAAGCCUGAUCCAGCCAUGCCGCGUGUGUGAAGAAGGUCUUCGGAUUGUAAAGCACUUUAAGUUGGGAGGAAGGGCAUUAACCUAAUACGUUAGUGUUUUGACGUUACCGACAGAAUAAGCACCGGCUAACUCUGUGCCAGCAGCCGCGGUAAUACAGAGGGUGCAAGCGUUAAUCGGAAUUACUGGGCGUAAAGCGCGCGUAGGUGGUUCGUUAAGUUGGAUGUGAAAUCCCCGGGCUCAACCUGGGAACUGCAUUCAAAACUGUCGAGCUAGAGUAUGGUAGAGGGUGGUGGAAUUUCCUGUGUAGCGGUGAAAUGCGUAGAUAUAGGAAGGAACACCAGUGGCGAAGGCGACCACCUGGACUGAUACUGACACUGAGGUGCGAAAGCGUGGGGAGCAAACAGGAUUAGAUACCCUGGUAGUCCACGCCGUAAACGAUGUCAACUAGCCGUUGGGAGCCUUGAGCUCUUAGUGGCGCAGCUAACGCAUUAAGUUGACCGCCUGGGGAGUACGGCCGCAAGGUUAAAACUCAAAUGAAUUGACGGGGGCCCGCACAAGCGGUGGAGCAUGUGGUUUAUU
rnacentral:rRNA from 1 species